CCUACGGGCGGCAGCAGUGAGGAAUAUUGGUCAAUGGUCGGGAGACUGAACCAGCCAAGCCGCGUGAGGGAUGAAGGUACAGAGUAUCGUAAACCUCUUUUGUCAGGGAACAAAGGCGGGGACGUGUCCCCGGAUGAGUGUACCUGAAGAAAAAGCAUCGGCUAACUCCGUGGCAGCAGCCGCGGUAAUACGGAGGAUGCGAGCGUUAUCCGGAGUUAUUGUGUUUAAAGGGUGCGCAGGCGGUCUGUUAAGUCAGCGGUCAAAGCCCGGGGCUCAACCCCGUCGGGCCGUUGACACUGAUGUUCUUGAGUGGGCGAGAAGUAUGCGGAAUGCGUGGUGUAGAGGUGAAAUGCAUAGAUAUCACGCAGAACUCCGAGUGCGAAGGCAGCAUACCGGCGCCCAACUGACGCUGAAGCACGAAAGCGUGGGUAUCGAACAGGAUUAGAUACCCUAGUAGUC
rnacentral:rRNA from 1 species